AUUGAACGCUGGCGGCAUGCUUUACACAUGCAAGUCGAACGGCAGCACAGGGAGCUUGCUCCCGGGUGGCGAGUGGCGCACGGGUGAGUAGUACAUCGGAACGUGUCCUGUUGUGGGGGAUAACUGCUCGAAAGGGUGGCUAAUACCGCAUGAGACCUGAGGGUGAAAGCGGGGGAUCGCAAGACCUCGCGCAAUUGGAGCGGCCGAUGCCCGAUUAGCUAGUUGGUGAGGUAAAGGCUCACCAAGGCGACGAUCGGUAGCUGGUCUGAGAGGACGACCAGCCACACUGGGACUGAGACACGGCCCAGACUCCUACGGGAGGCAGCAGUGGGGAAUUUUGGACAAUGGGGGCAACCCUGAUCCAGCCAUGCCGCGUGCAGGAUGAAGGCCUUCGGGUUGUAAACUGCUUUGUCAGGCGAAAGGACCGUGUUAAUACCAUGGUCUGCUGACGGUACCUGAAGAAUAAGCACCGGCUAACU
rnacentral:rRNA from 1 species